GCACAAGCGGUGGAGCAUGUGGUUUAAUUCGAUGCAACGCGAAGAACCUUACCUGGGCUUGACAUCCCGAGAAUCCCCUGGAAACAGGGAGUGCCUUUCGGGGAACUCGGAGACAGGUGCUGCAUGGCUGUCGUCAGCUCGUGUCGUGAGAUGUUGGGUUAAGUCCCGCAACGAGCGCAACCCUUGUCUUUAAUUGCCAGCAUUCAGUUGGGCACUUUAAAGAGACUGCCGGUGUUAAGCCGGAGGAAGGUGGGGAUGACGUCAAGUCCUCAUGGCCUUUAUGCCCAGGGCUACACACGUACUACAAUGGCCGGUACAAAGGGCAGCGACACAGCGAUGUGAAGCCAAUCCCGAAAAGCCGGUCUCAGUCCGGAUUGGAGUCUGCAACUCGACUCCAUGAAGUUGGAAUCGCUAGUAAUCGCGGAUCAGCACGCCGCGGUGAAUACGUUCCCGGGCCUU
rnacentral:rRNA from 1 species